GUUAUCCCAACAGCAAACAGCAAAACCACAUCAAAGGAGCAGGAAAUGGUAGCCAGAGAAGCCCACAGCAGUGAUGGGAUGGUGGAGCAGCAACCCGGAUGGACGAAGACAGCUUGCCUAGUAGUGGAACUGGAGGCUACCAAUACAUCAAGGAAAAUUUUCACAGAAAGCCGGUGAAGGUCAGAACUCAUCCCAAAUUCCGCAGCUGCUGAAUGGCCAAGCCAGCACCGAAAACCACGUCUGACUGGCUCCCAGGCCUGUGUCUGUCUUCACUGCACCAAACGGAACCCACGCUGGAGAGGACACAGUUAUGACGAGAAGUAACCAACCAUUCUGCACAAAGGCCUCCAUGAGGCCAAGAUUUGGAGGGAAGGACAGCUGACACAUCCGAGAGGCUGGACACAGGCUCCUCUCGCGUAUCGGGCAGGGAGGACCGCGUGCAGGGCCAGGCAGCAGCGGGGAAUGACGGCCUGGGGCUGGGGCGGCACACAGGCGGCGCCGCCCGGGGGGUUUCUGUAAAAUUGUUUUUACUGCUUCAUCGCUGAAG